CGAGUCUUCGUUUGAAAAAUUCGGAGAGCAAGUGCUAUAACGAUAAUAAAAAAUGGUUUAAUCUAUAUCUGAAGCUAUUUAUUGUGCUAUUUAUCGUAAUAGGCAUAAAAUGGCUCAUGGUAACAGUGAAUGAAUUAUCUGAACAUAUAUCAAUUUACAAUUCGUAUGUUAUUCAGUUGCUGGACAUUAUGCAGAAUCUAUGCACCUUUAUCAUAUUUGUGUGGA